GACGAACGCUGGCGGCGUGCUUAACACAUGCAAGUCGAACGGAAAGGCCCUGCUUUUGUGGGGUGCUCGAGUGGCGAACGGGUGAGUAAAACGUGAGGAACAUGCCCUUGACUUUGGGAUAACUUCAGGGAACUGGGGCGAAUACAGGAGAGGAGCUACUGCUGCAUGGUGGGGGUUGGAAAGUUUCGGCGGUGGGGGAUGGACUCGCGGCUUAUCAGCCUGUUGGGGGGGUAGUGGCUUACCAAGGCUUUGACGGGUAGCCGGCCUGAGAGGGUGACCGGCCACCUUGGGACUGAGAGACGGCCCAGACUCCUACGGGAGGCAGCAGUGGAGAAUAUUGCACAAUGGGCGGAAGCCUGAUGCAGCAACGCCGCGUGCGGGAUGACGGCCUUCGGGUUGUAAACCGCUUUCGCAUGUGACGAAGCGUGAGUGACGGUAAUGGGUAAAGAAGCACCGGCUAACUACGUG
rnacentral:rRNA from 1 species